UGCCAGCCGCCGCGGUAAUACGUAGGGUGCAAGCGUUGUCCGGAUUUAUUGGGUUUAAAGGGUGCGUAGGUGGCCGAUUAAGUCAGUGGUGAAAUCCUGCAGCUUAACUGUAGAACUGCCAUUGAAACUGGUUGGCUUGAGUGUCGUUGAGGCAGGCGGAAUUUAUGAUGUAGCGGUGAAAUGCAUAGAUAUCAUAAAGAACACCUAUAGCGAAGGCAGCUUGCUAAGCGGCAACUGACACUAAUGCACGAAAGCGUGGGUAGCGAACAGGAUUAGAUA
rnacentral:rRNA from 1 species